rnacentral:misc_RNA from 1 species
UCCCCUCCUUUCUAAGGAAGAACCCUAAUGGAAACGCUCGUUCAUCGAGCCUCUGCCUUUCGGUUCUCUUGGAACAAGACGGAAGAGAGUCACUCUUACCGUCGCGCAUACACAAAGCGGUUCUGCCGCCUUCGUUUCUCUUUCUUCAGCGAAUGACUUUGACUUGCGCUCGCGCGCCGUACCGCAGCCCUUUGGGCUGCUGGCGCUCCGCGAGGGCGCGGCACGAGCCGCGACGGCCGGUCGGCCUUGCGAGACGUGCGUCUCGUUGGCGAAAGCCGAUUUAAGGCGCAGUCUAAGGGCUUGUAGCUCAGUUGGUUAGAGCGCGCGCUUGAUAAGCGUGAGGUCGGAGGUUCAAGUCCUCCCAGGCCCACCACUUCCUUUCGACACGAAGGUUAUCAGGGGCCGUAGCUCAGCUGGGAGAGCGCCUGCUUUGCAAGCAGGAUGUCGUCGGUUCGAUCCCGUCCGGCUCCACCAUCUUCCCUGGAAGAGGUGUCGAGUAGAGAUGAUCACCGGUGGUCAGUCAUUCGAAAAAGAGUUUGCGCCGGGCCGAGUGCUCUGCGCCUGUUCUGUUUGACAUCGUAAAGAGAAGAUUUGUUCGAACUUCAUGAGCCGAAAGGGCCAUGAUUUGUCGCAAGGGACGCUCAAUCCCUUGCCUAUGAUGGGUCUGCCUAACCGCGCCCUCGAACGGAUCUCGAGAAGCUGGUCUUUUUGUGCCAAUUCCAUUGAAGCGGGUCCGCACAGGAUCCGGUUCGAGCGACAAUCCUUCGGAUUGCGCUUAGCUAAUCCCGCAAGGGGUUUGGCUGAAGCGACGAUUUCUUCGAAAUCGUGCGAUGGGUAUUGGCAAUGAGAACGAUCAAGUGUCUUAAGGGCAAUUGGUGGAUGCCUUGGCAUGCACAGGCGAUGAAGGACGUGAUACGCUGCGAUAAGCUACGGGGAGGUGCGAAUACCCUUUGAUCCGUA